rnacentral:rRNA from 1 species
AGUCGAGCGCUGAUUACGGGGUAGCAAUAUUCCGUAGUCGGAGCGGCGCAAGGGUGCGUAACACGUGGGUAAUCUGCCAUGAAGUUUGGAAUAACUCGCUGAAAGGCGAGCUAAUGCCGGAUGUGAAAACUGGGAGGCAUCUCUUGGUUUUCAAAGCUGGGGACCGCAAGGCCUGGCGCUUCAUGAUGAGCCCGCGGCCUAUCAGCUAGUUGGUAAGGUAACGGCUUACCAAGGCUAAGACGGGUAGCUGGUCUGAGAGGACGACCAGCCACACUGGAACUGAGACACGGUCCAGACACCUACGGGUGGCAGCAGUCGAGAAUUUUUCACAAUGGGCGCAAGCCUGAUGGAGCGACGCCGCGUGGGGGAUGAAUGGCUUCGGCCCGUAAACCCCUGUCAUUUGCGAUCAACCGUUGUUGUUUAAGAGAUGACAACCUGAUAGUAGCGAAAGAGGAAGGGACGGCUAACUCUGUGCCAGCAGCCGCGGUAAUACAGAGGUCCCAAGCGUUGUUCGGAUUCACUGGGCGUAAAGGGUGCGUAGGUGGCGGGGUAAGUCGGAUGUGAAAUCUCCGAGCUCAACUCGGAAAUGGCAUUGGAAACUGCUCUGCUCGAGGGUUGGAGGGGGGACUGGAAUACUUGGUGUAGCAGUGAAAUGCGUAGAUAUCAAGUGGAACACCAGUGGCGAAGGCGAGUCCCUGGACAACUCCUGACACUGAGGCACGAAAGCUAGGGGAGCAAACAGGAUUAGAUACCCUGGUAGUCCUAGCCGUAAACGGUGCAUGUUUGCUGUAAAAGGAAUCGACCCCUUUUGUGGCGUAGCCAACGCGUUAAACAUGCCGCCUGGGAAGUACGGUCGCAAGAUUAAA